rnacentral:rRNA from 1 species
GUUGGCGGCCAUAGGGGGGUGGAAACGCCCAGUCCCAUUUCGAACCUGGAAGCUAAGCACCCUUACGACGUGGCGAGUACUGGAGUAAUUCCGGAAAAGCCUGUUGCUGCCACCA